CCAACUUUGACACAAAGGGAGACUCUACCAGGACAAAAAAAAAAAGACACCUUCUAGUUCCAUCUAAAAUACUUUAAGGUUUAAUGUUAGUUCUGAAACUUGAGAAUUAGGGACUUUCCUCCAGGAUAAAUUCUCAUGUGACAAGGUCAAACUUGGGGUCUUCAACUUUCAGGCUAACUAAACUUGGGGUUCUCUUACUAUGUUCUAUAUUGACAAAGGUAAUUGUGAGGAUCAGAUGAGAUAUUUGUAACUUAAAAGUAUUAUAUAAAGGCUCACUAUUAUUUUUAUAGCUGGUAAAGGGAAGAUCAAAGAAGAUCUCAUAGAAGAGGUAGCAUCUGAGAUAUGCCUUAAAGAAUGAUAAGGGUUAUGAGAGCUGGAAGCCAGAAGACUCAGAUCUCUCUUCUCCCAAGCUCUUACCAACUUCAUCUGUCCUGAAGGCACAAAGCAUUGAACAUCUCCAACUGAUGUUCAAUUCUUUACCUGCUGUUAUCUUCUUGACAUGCAAUCCAAGGUGUCUUCUCCUCAACUUUUAUGGCAGUGGGUGCUGUUAAUAAAAUUUGAUAAGGACCAUCCCAAACUGGACGUGUUUCAUUUAUUCUGCUAAAAUUUUAUAUAUAUAUAUAUUUUUUUAUAUAUAU
rnacentral:lncRNA from 1 species